AUACCUUUCUCGGCCUUUUGGCUAAGAUCAAGUGUAGUAUCUGUUCUUAUCAGUUUAAUAUCUGAUACGUGGGCCAUUGGUCCACAUGAUAUUAAAUUACUUUUUUUAGGGGUAGGGCCCAUUUCUUGCAGCUUGCUGCCUGGGACUCUUACGCGUUGCCUAGGCAUUACACUGCCGCCAAGGUCUGGCGCACCCCUC